UACAGAGGGUGCGAGCGUUAAUCGGAAUUACUGGGCGUAAAGCGUGCGUAGACGGUUAUUUAAGUCGGGUGUGAAAUCCCCGGGCUUAACCGGGGAACUGCGUCUGAUACUGGAUGGCUUGAGUUUGGGAGAGGGAUGCGGAAUUCCAGGUGUAGCGGUGAAAUGCGUAGAUAUCUGGAGGAACACCGGUGGCGAAGGCGGCAUCCUGGACCAACACUGACGCUGAGGAGCGAAAGCGUGGGGAGCGAUCCGG
rnacentral:rRNA from 1 species